AAAUGCUGAUUGCGGCUGGUCUGAAUGAUAGUAAUACUCCUUUUGAAUAAUUUAAGAAUUUCCAAUAAUACCGGUAAAAGUUGCCCGAGACCACGUCGUUAUCCUAUAUUGGUCUAUUAACAGUCCGUUUGCAAACUAACGCUUUUGUUUUCCUGAUUGUCGUGUGAUUUGAAGUGAAUAUACUAACACUGGCUGAAGAUUUUGUUGCCGGAAAGCCAACAUGUCGGACGUAGAGCGAGAAUGGAAGUUAGAGUUUUACCAAUGGAAAACACAUUACAUGGUCCAGUGGCAGAGACAGUUUGAAAAUUUCGUCAAAAGCUACGAAGACCGGCUUCAGUCGUGCAGUGCUCCAUAGACAGGGGCUUAAUUAAUGAGUCAAAUAAUAAAUCAUUUUCAAGUUU
rnacentral:misc_RNA from 1 species